GACGAACGCUGGCGGCGUGCUUAACACAUGCAAGUCGAACGGGCCUGUCUUCUUUUUUGGGGGGUGGGUUGAGUGGCGAACGGGUGAGUAUCACGUGAGUAACCUGCCCUUCGGUCCUGGAUAACCGCUUGAAAGGGCGGCUAAUACGGGGUGGUCCGGUUGGUCCGCAUGGGCUGGUCGGGAUAGAUUCACUGUUUUUGGUGUUUCGGCGGGGGAUGGGCUCGCGGCCUAUCAGCUUGUUGGUGGGGUGAUGGCCUACCAAGGCGGUGACGGGUAGCCGGCCUGAGAGGGUGGGCGGCCACACUGGGACUGGGAUACGGCCCAGAGUCCUGCGGGAGGCAGCAGUGGGGGGUAUUGCACAAUGGGCGGAAGCCUGAUGCAGCGACGUCGCGUGAGGGAUGGAGGCCUUCGGGUUGUGAACCUCUGUUUCCGGUGGUGAAGGCCCUGUCCGUGUGGUGGGGUUGACGGUAGCCGGGGAUGAAGCGCCGGCUAACUACGUG
rnacentral:rRNA from 1 species